CCUACGGGGGGCUGCAGUGGGGAAUAUUGGGCAAUGGGCGCAAGCCUGACCCAGCAACGCCGCGUGAAGGAAGAAGGCUUUCGGGUUGUAAACUUCUUUUAAGGGGGAAGAGGAGAAGACGGUACCCCUUGAAUAAGCCACGGCUAACUACGUGCCAGCAGCCGCGGUAAUACGUAGGUGGCAAGCGUUGUCCGGAUUUACUGGGUGUAAAGGGCGUGCAGCCGGGAGGACAAGUCAGAUGUGAAAUCCCGCGGCUCAACCGCGGAACUGCAUUUGAAACUGUUUUUCUUGAGUACCGGAGAGGUCAUCGGAAUUCCUUGUGUAGCGGUGAAAUGCGUAGAUAUUAGGAGGAACAUCAGGGGCGAAGGCGACUUACUGGACUGUAACUGACACUGAGGCACGAAAGCGUGGGGAGCAAACAGGAUUAGAUACCCCAGUAGUC
rnacentral:rRNA from 1 species